rnacentral:rRNA from 1 species
AAAUAGAUACCCAGGUAGUCCACGCCGUAAACGAUGAGUGCUAAGUGUUAGGGGGUUUCCGCCCCUUAGUGCUGCAGCUAACGCAUUAAGCACUCCGCCUGGGGAGUACGGCCGCAAGGCUGAAACUCAAAGGAAUUGACGGGGGCCCGCACAAGCGGUGGAGCAUGUGGUUUAAUUCGAAGCAACGCGAAGAACCUUACCAGGUCUUGACAUCCUCUGACAAUCCUAGAGAUAGGACGUUCCCCUUCGGGGGACAGAGUGACAGGUGGUGCAUGGUUGUCGUCAGCUCGUGUCGUGAGAUGUUGGGUUAAGUCCCGCAACGAGCGCAACCCUUGAUCUUAGUUGCCAGCAUUCAGUUGGGCACUCUAAGGUGACUGCCGGUGACAAACCGGAGGAAGGUGGGGAUGACGUCAAAUCAUCAUGCCCCUUAUGACCUGGGCUACACACGUGCUACAAUGGAUGGUACAAAGGGCUGCAAGACCGCGAGGUUUAGCCAAUCCCAUAAAACCAUUCUCAGUUCGGAUUGCAGG